AUUGGCUUUCCCUCCGAUACCUCUGCUAAUUCCUCCCUCCUCCUUGAAUUCCAGGAUGAGAACAGCAACCAGAGCUCUGUGUCCGACGUCUACCAGCUCAAAGUGGACAGUAGUACCAACUCGAGCCCCAGCCCCCAGCAGAGCGAGUCCCUGAGCCCAGCACACACCUCCGACUUCCGCACGGAUGACUCCCAGCCCCCCUCCCCCACUGGGCCAGGAGAUACUCGGAGGUCGCCGAUGAGCCCCCCACCCUCACCAAGAAGGAUCCUGUGCCCCUGGAGACACAGGUGGCUGAGGAGGAGGAAGAUGCGAGUGCCCCGCCUCUGAAGCGCUUCUGUGUGGACCAGCCUGCAGUGCCGCAGACAGCGUCUGAGAGCUAGUAGCACCUGGCGCCCUCCAUCCGCAUCCAACCCCUGCCUCUAUUUAUUGCGUUCUGACUCUAGCCGUGAUGCUGGGGUCAAGGGCAAGCGUGGGGGUGCAGAGCCUGCACGUAGGAAGCGUUCAGCCUGAAAGCAGACCAUGGACUCUGGUCACUGCAUCACCUUCCUGUUCCUGGCACCUGCUUGCUAGGCAGCUGAGCAGAAGAGCGCUCCUGUCUACUUUCCCAGGCUUUCUGUCACCCCCUGGGGCAAGACCUCUGGACAAAGCUGCUGGUGUGUGUGUGUGUGUGAGAGAGAGAGAGAGAGAGAGAGAAAGAAAGAAAGAAAGAGAGAGAGAGAGGUGGGAGGGGUCCUGCAAGAGUACUUGAAAGGAGACAGCGGCCAGUGGGACUGUGCCACAGGCCGUGGGCCCUGUAGGCUGCUGUUGGGAGGUACUGCGUGGGGCUUUGGAGGAUGGGGAAGAUGAAAGGCCAUCCCUGCUCUGCUGGGCAUCUCUGCCCCCACUGAGGUGGGUUCCCAUUGCUGAGGGUGCCCUAUGCCCUGCCCCUGACAGGCACACAUGCCCACAGCUCCCUGCCUACCUGUACAUGCCAUUCCUGCCUCUCGCCAGACACUCUGCCUCAGCCAGAAUUCAGGGUUCUGACAUCAGCACCCAUUCUUCCCAGUACUGCUUCUGCUCAGACUUUCUAGAAAGUUCCCUCUUAUUUGAAAUCUGCAUGUUCAGUUGAACUUUGUGAUUUAUUUUUGGUCUCAAAGAAGUUUAAGAAAAUGGAAAUGGACAACAACGAGUAAAGACAUAUUUUAGCACUGAAUAGAAUAUUUUAAAAAUUAAACUAUUUGAAAUGCGUCAAAAAAAAAA